GUGAUGCUUAAUUUUGUGAAUUUUCCUUUAGUUCAAAGAGUAAAUAAAUAAACUAAUAAAUAUUGUGUGAAUGGAUUCUAAUAAUUUUACAUAACUAAAAUCGUUAUUUGCCGUUUCAGCUAUGGAAAAACCUACCGUUUCAUUAUUCAUCAUUAUAAACAAUCACCUAUUAAAAACCGUGAAAUUCUUCCCCAUAUUCCAUCCCACAUAAAAUCCCGCUUUCCUACCGCAUAAACGAUAAAACUUCUGUCGCCUACGCCACCUCUAUAUUUCUUUUUUCCUGCACUCCUUUUCUCCCUCCUCCUCCUCCCCCCACCAAACUCUUACGGUAUCCCUCUACCUGUUUCUGCUUCAUUGAGUGAAGCACUCAAGCAACUUUCUACCUUGCUCUUUCCCUCCACCAUCGGCAGUGCCGUGCCACCACCUCUCUGUCUAUCUUAUAUAGUUGCUCUAUGCCGACAUUUGACAUUUCAAUUAUUCAAAAGAGAAAAGAGUGUGAGAGUGAGAGGACGGGGGAAGACAGAGGGAGAGAAGACGAAACACAUGUUGGAUGGGCGACCUUUUUUCACUCGCUGCGACAUUUUGUGAGAUUAAUGCGCCAAUUGUUCCCAUCAUCGUUUCCCCCAUUUCCCAUUUUGUUCCCCCCCACCCCCUCCUCUUGAGGAAGGACCGCCCGCACUACACUCCGAAAACAUCGUUCUCCUCUGUAUAUCCUACUCAGCAUUCGAUAAUAAUGCAAUUACAAUUUGAAAAAUGAUGUCUGACAGUUUUGAAUUUGUCAUGGUAUUUAUCAAAGUCGUCUCCAGGCCGCGCGCAGCACCAUGUGCAGCAGCAGCAGCAGCAGCAACAGGAGAGGCAGGAGACCAGAAGACCCCUGAAGAUGGAGAUGCAGCAGCAGGAACCUGUGCCGGUGCUGCCACAAGAUGGAGGACAUGUCACUUUCAUCGCAGUAUCCCAAAACCAUUAUUUCCUAUGGCAUAACCCUUUCUAAAAGUAAUCCCCGUAAACGAAUGAUGGUCUGAAAAUGUCAUUUACACAGUUUUUUGAAUGACAUGAAAUAUGAAAAUGCACACAGAAAACACAUUCGUAACACCGGAACAGAACAAUAGCAGACACACACACACGCACACAGGGAACAAAUCUACAUAGAUAGUCGAAAUCAUCUAAAAAUCUGUGACGCAAUAAAAUAGAAUUAAUGGAAA